UACCGGUAUCAAAGGUCUAUUACAUAGACACCAAUCUUUGACAAAAGAAAUUGGACCUCUGCUGUGAGAGCUGUAAAUCAGAAGCACUCUCUUACUGUCAGGAUUAGAGAUAUCUGUCUAACAUCACAAGGCUGGUUGGUGUCAGUGCCCAAGCACAAGGCUGAUUGGUGACGGAAAGCAACAGAGGAAAAUGGUACUCGUCCGGUAGCUGUGCACCAAGAAUUAUUUUGGCUCACUUUGUCUGCCUUUAACAUCUAGUGUUUGAGUGCAGCUCAAGUGUUCUGAUUCACGAGGCUCUUUAAGGGGCACUACUUGUGAAUUCCCCAAGAGCCUCUUAUCCAAGCAAUAUGGUUACUUCUCUCCUGCUUCUCUCGGGUGUUGCAGGUUGGCAAUGUCAUUUUUUAGCUAGUUGGAGUAAAACGUUUAUCACCCGGCCAUAAAGUGAGCUUCAAGGUUACGGAGCCACUCAUAAAGUGUUUCUGUGGAAAACAACAACAGUCAUAGAAAGGGACAGAGCACUUCAGAAUUAAAGUUAUUUGAUGUCAAAAGAAGCUGAAAUGAAAGGCCCUCCCAUAACUGGUACACAUUUUGAAUGCUUGAUUACCCCCUUGGUUCAACCUGGCAUGAAAACUGAGAUACUUCAAGUGAGACUUCUGUCAUCUAGUCAGACACGCUGGUGAAUAUUCCUGUGAAGUCAUACUCUCUCCCUUGGUGCACCAUUGAAGUAAAAAAGCCUUGCUUCCUGAAUGAUCAUUACCUGACUCUGAGUCUCUAAGUCUAUGGUAGUGAAAAUGACCAUCACCUGAUAAAAACUGAGAGAGCAUUUUUUUUUUAAGUAAUAUACAAGAAAGCUAUAAACUUUGUAGACUUAAAGGACCAGAAACAAAUGAAAAAGGAAAAAAAAAGAAACCAAAAACAAUAUCGUCUUUACAAAAUAUACAGAAUAAUUAUCAUUAUCAUUAGUGGUUGGAAAAUGUGUCCGUGUCAACUUUUGAAUAGUUGGAAUAAUUUUGGAUUUCUUACAGUUUUUCCAAUCAUUUUAGUUCUUGUACCUAUACCAUGGAUACUUUUCCCAAACACUUAACACAGUGGCCUUUACAGACACACACCUCUGCAUAUCAGUUAACUUUUGGUGCAAAAUGCAAUACAACAACCACACCACAAUCAAUUCUGCCGUAACUUUAAAACAUGUUCCCUCUCAGAGUAGAAUGACCUAAAAAACACUAACAACUUGAAGCAUUGCUAAUUGCAUCUAUAAAAUGUUGCUGUGUCCUCCAGUUUAGCAUAGAUUACUGUAGUGUUGCAUUCAAAAAAGAGAAAAAACACACACAGACAAACACUUCUUUGGACUACAGUAAUAAAGUUUGUAAAAUGCUGCAA
ensembl:lncRNA